CUGCGGGUAGCUUAUGUUUAAAGUUUUGAAUUCUUACUUCAAAGAUGUUGCUGUUAACCCCGGAGG
rnacentral:tRNA from 1 species